UGGCAUCCGUGCCGGAUGCGGUCUGAGCUCGCCCGUUGAAAAGGGCGUGAACACAAAUGAGAAAUUGAGCAGUCGCCUCCAAAAGUAUUGGAAUGGAAAGCUUCACGUCUGCAAAAGCGGACACGAUGACAGCGAUGACGAUGAUGUGAGGAGCCGAGGAGCAACUUGCAGCAAGUCCAAAACCACGCAAGGCCUUGUGCGCUCCAGAGUUGGUGGUUCUGACGCGCUGCGCGGGUUGUUACAAGCAGCCCAAACACGGCACCAAGGCGGCAGGACCCUUGGAGGAUCAAUCGUCCUCCAGUGAAGAAGACGACGAUGAAUUGGAAUGCGAGCCGCCGACAGCGGGCGCCAGUGAGCACGAGGGACCCCGGGCCGAGUGGCAGAGCGAACCGCCAGACGCCAGGACCACCGGCCUGCAAGAUGGCGCGUCCCCCCCGACUCAAGUCCAGCAGUCACCUGCAGAGGGAGCCAGCCAAAACACGGACCCAUAAGGCAGCCUGUCAUGUCACACACGUGCGGUCUUCCCCAAAGUCGCAAACAAACAUGCCUCUUACUAGUCAUAAUCAUUAUUUGUUGCAAAUUGAGAGCCCGUCACAGGUCAGCUGAUUGUCUUGAUCCCUCAUGUACACACACACACACACACACACACACACACACACACACACACACACACACACACACACACACACACACACACACACACACACACACAUUAUUUACUGUACAUUGAAAAUGAAUUGGUCAUUAUAGUAAGAUAACAGACUCUACGACUUUAGUGUUUUUGUUCCUCCGUUGGAAAAAAACCAGCAACAACCGUGUCUUAGGUUCAUUCUUCCCUGUUGAAAAGUGUCAAAACAUGUUCAAUUUGCCUAACCUGAAACCUUAAUGCCUGUUUGAAACACCAUCUCUGGUUUGGAUCCCUAAUUUGAAAAAAGUCCUAAUUUAAAUCUCUACCUUCUUAGCCUUUCAAAUGAAAUCCUGUACCUUUAAUUUCCCUCAUGAUCAUCAUAUCAACCUGCCUACCUAUUUGAAAGCCCAACCUACGCUCUUGAAAGCUUAACCCUGUGUUGAAACCAUAACCCUCAUUUCACAUCGAAAUUGCAUCAAACAAAGUCAAUCAUCUGUCAAAUAAAUAAAUAAAUAAAUAAAUAAAUAAAACACAAAAAGUGGGAGUGACCCUUUUGAAACUACUGUACAAAAGCUACAUUGACGGCGCCCGAGUCGAUUAGCCUUAUUGCACGCUGCUUUCCGUAAUGGGCCGCGGCUCAGACCACUCCCUCUUCACCGCACACGUGCGCACACACAGACACGCGCGCUCUCUCUCGCUCUCUGUGUCGAUCUUUCUUUGUUUGUUUGCACGAACGUCGGACCGCGAUGGAGCCCAGCAGCCCCAAGAAGAUCCAGUUUGAUGUCCCGCCACUGCAGGGGCACUUGGACCCUCAGGCCGCCGAACACAUACGUCGUAGACGACCGACGCCUGCAACUCUGCAAAUAUACAGACAACCAGAAGCUGGAGAUCAGAACAACGCCAGUGGAGGCUCUCAGUCUGUAGAUGGCGCUCACAGGAAGCAAAGCACCUUGGCCCCGCCCACCAUGAAAGAGCUUCACGUGGGGGCGGAGCAACCGCCCGACUGUCAGCUGAGUCCAAUCACAGCGCAGCUCUAUGCCGGUUCCUACCCGUGGACCAAUCAGAACAGGCCAGAGGAAGCCAAUGGGAACCCGACGGCCCUUUUAGCCAAUCACGGAAGAGGCGUGGCGCAGAGCAACAGUUCAAGCGAUGUGUCAUGUGAUUCGCAUAAAGAAGUUUCCAGUCCCGACUCGGUCUCUCGGUAGCCGCCGCCGCUGCUGCACUUCCUCCAAGUAACUCUUCCUCUUCUCCUUCUCUUCCUCCUCAUGUCCAUGCUGCUGCAUUAACGGCUUGACAAGAAAAACAGCUAGAACCCUGUACAAUCAAUCUCAUGCAAGCUUGAAUCUCCCCUACCUGAAGAAGAGGAGGAGGACAUCACGCAUCAGACUGAAUAGAGUGGGUGCGUGUGUUUGACUAUUCGGAAUAAAACAUACUAGGGGACUGCAGCACUGUGGUGGGGGUGGCUGAUCCUGCACACUCCACUAACUGUAGUAUGACCUAAAUUAGCUCAGAUCCCUAAAUAAAAAGACAUUUUCAUGUUGGUUGUUAUUUUUUUCCAAGUUGGGCUUAAAAAAAUAACGUCUCGAGCGGGUUUGGUCAUGUGACAUUGAUUGGUCCUUCCAACGUGUGCUGCCAACGGCCAAUCACUACACGAGCCGGAUGAAGUGGUACGCUCAAACUUGGCCAACUAGCCAGGAUCAAAUGGACAGAAUGGAGUGAAAAGCUCACUUCGCCCGAGGUUUUUUUUUUUUUUUUUACACACGCGCGCACGUACGCGCAGGUAUCGAAUUCAUGGUGCCUGUACACAAGACAGGCGGGUGUACCACUACAACAUCAGCAUUUUUUUAUAUAAUAUAUAUAUUCUUGUAUUUAAAUGUGUCAUUUUGAGUGUGGUUUUCCAAGAGCUGUGCACAUGGUGCCUGUUGUCGAGCAUUUUCAGAUAGGUGGUGAGACUUCUCCAUUUGGAGGAAGUUGGGUCAUUUUUUAUCUUCCAUGUUAUAUUUGGAGCAAUGAUCAUAUCCUUCUGUUGAUGAGCACAUGAGGUUGACUUUUGAUUUCCUGUCAAGUAGAGGUAAACGCUCAAGAAAGAGUCCACGGCAACUACUGACGCUCCUCGUGUACUGCAGUGAAGUGAGCUAAAUUGACAUUUUGAAAUGACCUUCAAGUGUUUUUGUUGCCCGGGAGACGACCGCAAAGCAAAGAACCAAAGUGCUCAGAGUCCAUGCAGACAAAUGAAGACAUGUCCACUUGUACUUUAUUAACCGUGAUUGAGAGCAGUCUCUUUUUUUAAACUCCACUAUGUUACAGAACGCAUGAUCCCGAUCCCCCUUCCCUCCCUAUCCCUCUCGCACGCAAACAUCGUAUGUAGUGUUGUUAGAAUGAUCGGCAAAUUGAAAAAGUAAGAAAACGUAAAAACAGACCAGUUGAGUUCACAUCAAAAACCUUUUUUUUAAAAAAAUAACAACCCACAAAGAGUUCAUGUUACCACUAACUAGAAAAGAACAAAAUCACCAUGUUACAAGUGUAUGCGUGCGUGUUUUUGCUAUGAAAUGUCACAAGGCGGCAUAAUGACUUGGCUGUCCGUGUAAUAAAUGGAAAAUGUCCACAAACAGCAAGCAAACGAUGGCCGCCCUCCCCGAGCAAAAAUUAAAAACAUCAAGGAAGGAAACCAUCCAAAUCCAUCACCACCACAUACAAGCCGUCAAUUAGUUUAGUGUCAACGCAAUAUAUAUACUGUAAAUUUAUAUAUACUAUUUAUUUAUAUUUUUUGUCCUCGUAUAACAAACAAACACUUGGGUUUGUUUUGUGUUGCCACGCUUAUGGUCCCCAUCGCAUCAGCAUGACAUAAUAUUUAAAAAAAAAAAAAAAA